UACGGGGGGGGCAAGCGUUGUUCGGAAUUACUGGGCGUAAAGGGCCGUCAGUGCGAGCCACUAAGUCAGACGUGAAAUCCCUCGGCUUAACCGGGGAACUGCGUCUGAUACUGGAUGGCUUGAGUUUGGGAGAGGGAUGCGGAAUUCCAGGUGUAGCGGUGAAAUGCGUAGAUAUCUGGAGGAACACCGGUGGCGAAGGCGACUUCCUGGACCAAUACUGACGCUCAUGUGCGAAAGCGUGGGGAGCAAACAGG
rnacentral:rRNA from 1 species